UACGUAGGGACCAAGCGUUGUUCGGAUUUACUGGGCGUAAAGGGCGCGUAGGCGGCAUGACAAGUCACUUGUGAAAUCUCCGGGCUUAACUCGGAACGGCCAAGUGAUACUGUCAAGCUAGAGUGCAGAAAGGGCAAUCGGAAUUCUUGGUGUAGCGGUGAAAUGCGCAGAUAUCAGGAGGAACACCGAUGGCGAAGGCAGGUCUCUGGGCCAUAACUGACGCUGAGAAGCGAAAGCAUGGGGAGCGAACAGG
rnacentral:rRNA from 1 species